UACGUAGGGUGCGAGCGUUAAUCGGAAUUACUGGGCGUAAAGCGUGCGCAGGCGGUCUGUUAAGACAGAUGUGAAAUCCCCGGGCUUAACCUGGGAACUGCAUUUGUGACUGGCAGGCUAGAGUAUGGCAGAGGGGGGUAGAAUUCCACGGUGUAGCAGUGAAAUGCGUAGAGAUGUGGAGGAAUACCGAUGGCGAAGGCAGCCCCCUGGGCCAAUACUGACGCUCAUGCACGAAAGCGUGGGGAGCAAACAGG
rnacentral:rRNA from 1 species